rnacentral:rRNA from 1 species
GUCGAGGAUCUUCGGCAAUGGGCGAAAGCCUGACCGAGCGACGCCGCGUGUGCGAUGAAGGCCUUCGGGUUGUAAAGCACUGUCGUGGGGGAGAAAGCCCGCAAGGGUUGAUCGACCCCAGGAGGAAGCUCGGGCUAAGUUCGUGCCAGCAGCCGCGGUAAGACGAACCGAGCGAACGUUGUUCGGAAUCACUGGGCUUAAAGGGCGCGUAGGCGGGCGGUCAAGUCGAGGGUGAAAGCCCCCAGCUCAACUGGGGAAGUGCCUCCGAUACUGGCCGUCUCGAGGGGGAUAGGGGCGUGCGGAACUUCCGGUGGAGCGGUGAAAUGCGUAGAUAUCGGAAGGAACACCGAUGGCGAAAGCAGCGCGCUGGAUCCCUUCUGACGCUGAGGCGCGAAAGCCAGGGGAGCGAACGGGAUUAGAAACCCCGGUAGUCC